UACGAAGGGGACUAGCGUUGCUCGGAAUCACUGGGCGUAAAGAGCGUGUAGGCGGCUAGGUAGGUCCGUUGUGAAAACUCGAGGCUCAACCUCGAGCUGUCGAUGGAAACCAUCUGGCUAGAGUCCGGAAGAGGAGAGUGGAAUUCCUGGUGUAGCGGUGAAAUGCGCAGAUAUCAGGAAGAACACCCGUGGCGAAGGCGGCUCUCUGGUACGUGACUGACGCUGAGACGCGAAAGCGUGGGGAGCAAACAGG
rnacentral:rRNA from 1 species